GUGUUUCAUCUGAGAGAAAGCUGCUGUGUGACAGUCACCACACUCAGUUUAUUGGGUGCUGAGGAUGAAACCCAGGGUUUCACGCCUGCGCAUGGCACACAUUCUACCAGCUGAGCCACACCCCCAGCCCCUGGGGAACUUAAACCUUGCUGUUGCCCAACAGGAUAUCUGAAAUCUGUUCCGAACUGGAUUCAAGCAUCCCAGUUUUUCUAAAGAUCUUCCCUGGUUCCAAUUAAGGAAUGGAGCCGGGAAUUGAACUCAAAGACUCCGAUGGCUAGUGUCCUCCAAAGGCAGAGGCUCAAUGAGGUGCAGUGUGAUUGGCAGCCACAUGCUCCUCCCACCAUGCCUUCUCCAUGAUGGACUGUACCCUCACACUGUGAGCCAAAAGAAGCCCUUUUUUUCCUUCAGUUGCUUCCUGACAGGUAUUGCCAUACCAUAAAAAAUACCUAACCCAGAAGAGAAGGGCCUGCCUCUGGCGUCCCGCAGGCUGAUGUCAGACUUCAAUUCCUGGUGACCGAGGACUGGAGGAUAGGCUUUCCUGCAUCUGCGGGCCACAGACCACCUUGUGGUCCCUGAAGGAUACCAUGUGGGCUUCCCCAGCCUGGCUGCUUGCUUCCUCAAGCCAGUCCAGAGUACAAAGACUGCAGUGACUGGCUGAUCGAGCUCAGAACCGCACACCGUGGGGAGUGAAGGAAGCCCUGAGUGGGUGAGGUCUCGAGAGAAGGGAUAUUGUUGACAAGGGUAUGGCCCUGUCAAAGGCCAAUGCCUCAGCCCCACGGGAGUGGCAAAGGUGCCACCUACCCUAGGUGAGGCUCAGCAGGAUAGCAAAGCCUCCUUUGGGUGCAAGUGCAAAUGCUGACAGUGUUCAGAAAAUGUCCGCUGCAGCGGUCUACCCCAAGGUGUUUAUGAUCUAAUGACUGCUCUACAGAGACUGCUUCUGUGGAGAUUAGCCGACCCCGCCUUCUCGUUCAGAAGAAGCCUUGGCUCCUAUCAAGCUGUAAGCAGUAACCCAUCCUCCUUGUUCUUUUGUGGAUGAUAAGCAUGAUGCGCUUCCACAGAACUGCUGCUUCUCCACCUGAUCCCAGCGUUUCUGUCCUUUCUUCAUGUCCCUUGAUGCCCCAGUUAGGCCAGUCCCUGGAGCUGUGCAGGAUGAGGCAGCACACACUCUGAUGCUACACUACCCUGUGUAGGUUAGAAGGAAGUCAUAGGCUUCGCCCCUGGGGAGCAAAAGGAGGCUUUAUUUAAAGGAGGA